ACAAAUAUUUUAAUUUCAGUUUUAUAAGUAUGAAUUAUUUAAUGUAAAAGUAAUAAAAUUUUCUUUAUUAGUAAGUUAAAACAACUAAGUUCUUAUUUAAAUUAUAAGCCUUUCUUAACUUAGUGGCCCAAAUACUUAAUUCCUAUCCAAACCCAAAUUACCCAAAUCCUAAUCCUAAUAAAGUUAGAGAACUAAAACCCAAAUAAAAUAAAACCCUCACCUAUUCUUCUUCUCUCUUUCACGUGAAACAAAAGAAAAAAAAAACCCUCAAAUCUUUUCCUCCUCCCUGUUUCACGACUCAAUACAAAAAAAAAAAAAAAAAAAAAAAAAAAAAAAAAACUCAAGUUGAUGCCGCUGCUCCAGACGCACCACCACCGCCGCCCAGCCGCACCUCCGACCACCCAAACGAACCACCGUACAGCAGCCCUACAGAGAGGACUUUGUAGAAGGUGACUUCUAGUUCUAAAGUGGCCAACCGAAUUGUUUACACAAGUGACGAUCCAAUUUUUACACUUGUACUAUUGGGGAGCAGAUUAACCACAGGUUCUUACACAUGCAACAUCCGUUUCUAGAUGGUGGCACUAGUAGAAAAAUGGUAAUUGGCACCGAGCCAUGGCCACCGGUUUUAGAAAACCAGUGGGGAAGAAAAGGGGAAAAAUGGGGGCGAUUUUGAGGGAAGAGUAUUGCCACCGGUUCAAAACGAACCGGUGGGAAAAUAUUAAUCCCACCGGUUUUGAACCGGUGACUUUGUUAAAAAAAAAAAAACCGCGCUCAUAUGAAUAGGCCAAAACCCUAGCCUAUCAUGCAUCGCCUCCCUCCUCCUCCUCUCUUCUCUCUCUCUCUUCUUUCUCCUCUGCUUCUCUCUCCUCAACUAGCUAGAUCUCUCUGCUUCUCUCUCAUUAUCAACAACCAUCAUCGCCGCCGCCCUUCUCUCAUCUAUCUCUCAUCUGCUUCUCUCUCGUUCUCUCAUUAGGGCUCAGUUGCAAAAUCGAAAAUCUCCCCUAAAAACAUAAAACUCCGGCGAAAGCUCAACAAUGGCGGACGGAGGCGACAUGGAAAUCUCUCUUGACAAACUCCCUAUCAAACGCCUCGAAAUCAUCGAAGAAUUCAGCGCCGAUCGCUUCUCAUCCGACAUCGAAUACGAAGAGAAAUCGGUGAACUUGAUUCAGACUUCGCUUGGGCGUUGGAGAGAGAUGCGAAGAAGCAGAAGAAGACGAAGGAAUCAUCAGCGCCCUCCACAUUGCAAGAGGUGAUUGAGAAUUUGAGAUUGGCUCAUCAAGAGCUCUCUGUUAUCAUUGAUCUAAUUAACACUCCAGGUUGGUUCUUGCUUUGGGGGCUAAACCAAAGCUCGACAUGGUACCAAGGGCUGUAGAAUAUGCUCUGCCAUUUUCCACUUUUGAGGAUACAUGUGUAAGUAUUUGAGAACUACAGGAAAAAUGAGGAGACUGCGGUUGAGAAGAUAAAGGAGCCUAUUUUUUAUGAGAUCACUCAUGCCUUAAUCGGACGCUAUGGGUUGAAUUUCACCAGACAAGAUAUAUCUUCUCUCCGGUUUUAAUGCAAGCAGGUUCCAUAAUUUCAUCUAAGAAGUUCAAUUUGUUUUACUAAGAUAUGGGGCUGCUUCUGUGCUGGUGUUCUGCUCCUUAUGUGCUGUUGUUCUGCUCCUUAUGUGCUGUUGUUCUGCACUUCUGCUACUGUGUAGCUGCAUAUGUUUGUAACCUUGUAAUUUAUUUUAAUUUUUUAGACAAAAAUUGUAAUAUUACAGCAUUUUUUUAUGAAAAUAUGUAAGUUUAUAUA